UACGUAGGGGGCAAGCGUUGUCCGGAUUCAUUGGGCGUAAAGAGCGUGUAGGCGGCCAGGUAGGUCGGUUGUGAAAACUGGAGGCUCAACCUUCAGAGGUCGACCGAAACCAUUCUGGCUAGAGUCCGGGAGAGGAGAGUGGAAUUCCUGGUGUAGCGGUGAAAUGCGCAGAUAUCAGGAGGAACACCGGUGGCGAAGGCGGCCUGCUGGGCAGUAGCUGACGCUGAGGCGCGACAGCGUGGGGAGCAAACAGG
rnacentral:rRNA from 1 species